rnacentral:lncRNA from 1 species
UUAGGGGUUUAAUUGAAAUGUUAAAGAAAAGUUUAGGGGUUAAAUUGAACUUUUUCAGGUUAAAAUUGCAAGUAAUUAAUAAAGUUGAUGGACCAAAAUGUAAUAAGGAAAACUUUGGGGCUCAAUGUCGUUAUUAGAAGGAAAGAAAGAAGAAAAGAAUAGAAGCGAGAGAGAGAGGAGACGUCGGGGAAGGAGUGGGGGGCUGCCGUCCGUGGCAGGUGGAGGCCGCUCGAGGCACGGUGGCGACGGCUGGAGGAAGGGCCGACGCCGGCGAGCCCAGCGGCAGCGGCAGCGGUGCGACAACAGCCAAAAAAAAAAAAGGAAGAAAGGGAGUUGUGGCUGUCGGCGCCGUUCCCGGCCGUUCCCGGCAUGCUUUGGCGG